rnacentral:rRNA from 1 species
CGCGUAGGCGGUGAUAUGAGUGAUAGGUGAAAGCCCCGGGCUUAACCUGGGAAGUGCCUAUCAAACGAUAUGACUGGAGUAUAAGAGAGGGUGGCGGAAUUUCCGGUGUAGCGGUGAAAUGCGUAGAGAUCGGAAGGAACGUCAAUGGCGAAGGCAGCCACCUGGCUUAAUACUGACGCUGAAGCGCGAAAGCGUGGGGAGCAAACAGGAUUAGAUACCCUGGUAGUCCACGCUGUAAACGAUGAGGACUAGAUGUUGGUAGGGGAACUUAUCAGUAUCAAAGCUAACGCGAUAAGUCUUCCGCCUGGGAAGUACGGCCGCAAGGUUGAA